rnacentral:rRNA from 1 species
AUUGAACGCUGGCGGCAUGCCUUACACAUGCAAGUCGAACGGUAACGCGGGGCAACCUGGCGACGAGUGGCGAACGGGUGAGUAAUGCAUCGGAACGUGCCCAGUAGUGGGGGAUAGCCCGGCGAAAGCCGGAUUAAUACCGCAUACGACCUACGGGUGAAAGCGGGGGACCGUAAGGCCUCGCGCUAUUGGAGCGGCCGAUGUCAGAUUAGGUAGUUGGUGGGGUAAAGGCCUACCAAGCCGACGAUCUGUAGCUGGUCUGAGAGGACGACCAGCCACACUGGGACUGAGACACGGCCCAGACUCCUACGGGAGGCAGCAGUGGGGAAUUUUGGACAAUGGGCGCAAGCCUGAUCCAGCCAUGCCGCGUGCGGGAAGAAGGCCUUCGGGUUGUAAACCGCUUUUGUCAGGGAAGAAACGCUCUGGGCUAAUACCCCGGGGUAAUGACGGUACCUGAAGAAUAAGCACCGGCUAACUACGUGCCAGCCGCCGCCGUAACAC